rnacentral:rRNA from 1 species
UACGUAGGUGGCAAGCGUUGUCCGGAUUUACUGGGCGUAAAGGAUGCGUAGGCGGACAUUUAAGUCAGAUGUGAAAUACCCGAGCUUAACUUGGGUGCUGCAUUUGAAACUGGGUGUCUAGAGUGCAGGAGAGGUAAGUGGAAUUCCUAGUGUAGCGGUGAAAUGCGUAGAGACCCGGAGGAACACCAGUGGCGAAGGCGGCUUCCUGGUCUGCAACUGACGCUGUGGCGCGAAAGCUAGGGGAGCAAACGGG